rnacentral:rRNA from 1 species
GAUCAUGGCUCAGAUUGAACGCUGGCGGAAUUGCUUUACACAUGCAAGUCGAACGGUAGAGGGGCAACCCCUUGAGAGUGGCGAACGGGUGAGUAAUGCAUCGGAACGUGCCCAGUCGUGGGGAUAACGCAGCGAAAGCUGUGCUAAUACCGCAUACGAUCUAUGGAUGAAAGCGGGGGACCGUAAGGCCUCGCGCGAUCGGAGCGGCCGAUGUCAGAUUAGGUAGUUGGUGGGGUAAAGGCUCACCAAGCCAACGAUCUGUAGCUGGUCUGAGAGGACGACCAGCCACACUGGAACUGAGACACGGUCCAGACUCCUACGGGAGGCAGCAGUGGGGAAUUUUGGACAAUGGACGCAAGUCUGAUCCAGCCAUUCCGCGUGCAGGAUGAAGGCCCUCGGGUUGUAAACUGCUUUUGUACGGAACGAAAAGGUUUCUAUUAAUACUAGGAGCUCAUGACGGUACCGUAAGAAUAAGCACCGGCUAACUACGUG